GUCGUGUCCGAGUGGUUAAGGCGAUGGACUCGAAAUCCAUUGGGGUCUCCCCGCGCAGGUACGAAUCUUUUCGGCAGCG
rnacentral:tRNA from 1 species